GGAGUCGGCCGGACAGUCGCUGCGGUGCUUGCACCGGGGAGGAAAGUCCGGGCUCCACAGGGCAGGAUGCCAGGUAACCCCUGGGCGGCGCGAGCCGACGGCCAGUGCAACAGAGAGCAAACCGCCGAACGGUCCUGCUGCCGCUCCGGUGGCGCGGGAUGCGUGGUAAGGGUGAAACGGUGCGGUAAGAGCGCACCGCCCGUGGGGCCAACGCCACGGGGCACGGUAAACCCCAUCCGGAGCAAGGUCGAAUAGGGACGCCAUGCCGUGGCCCGCGGUGCGUCCGGGUAGACCGCUGGAGCGGCGUGGUGACGCGUCGCCUAGAGGAAUGACUGUCCUCGACAGAACCCGGCUUACAGGCCGGCUCCGCAC
rnacentral:RNase_P_RNA from 1 species